UUUAUGUAAUGUAUAACAAACUGUGACAUGAUAUUACAGUGUACAAAUAUUGUAGAACUGUAUAGCAAUAAGAAUUCGAGAGUUAUGGUGAAAAUAUAAAACAGCCGUUUGUCAAAUUGUUUUGCGCAACAAACUCACACUUUAGCAUUUCACUAUAUUUCACUUAAUUGAAACAGUUUGGUGAACUGUUGGUUAUAUUAUGCACGCUUGAAAAAAUAUAUGUGGAUGUAGAUGGAACAUCAAGAAAUUUAACUUCUUUUAUUGAAAAGAUGCGUACGUGUGUACAUCUCGGCAAAAAAUGUUUUUCUACUUCACGGUCAAAAGCAAAAAAAAAUGAAAACAAAAAAAAAAGAUUAAAUUUUGUUCCAAACUUUUUAAAUAUGUGCCGUCACUGAGUUGACUUUUUUUAGCGUGCAUUUUUCUGCAUUGUUGUAAACAAAUGAAGUAAAUUUUUGUCUCCGAUACUUUUGCUCCGCUUUGUCGUCUCCGUCGUCGCAGAAAAAUCGGAGGAAAUAGGAAAUCUUUACAACGGAACGCAGAGAACCCCUCAACCUGGCAAGUGUGCGGCCGCAAGAAAAACAGACUCCCAAGGCGCGUUUGACCUAGAGCCAUGGAAUUAUCGUUGUUCUGCUGCUAAUCACAAUUACCGGACCAACAAAACAGACAUCCAGCAACCAACCCACACGCAAAAAUCAAGCACCACCCAAAAAGCAUUCAAGAGAUGAACCACUAGGAGUGAGCACAAUAAUGAUUACUGUCCGAAGCUCUGAAGUUCCCUGACUUGCUGAACAGUACCGGGCAGUUGCUGACUUCCAUGGAAUCGAUGUAAACGAUGAGAUCAAAAAUCCUGAUGGCUACGUGACACAGAAAAAAUAUUAUGGGGUAUUGCAUUUGUGGCGAGACACUUAAAUUAAUUCUGAAUCGCGAUUAUUUAUUUAUUUUCAAUAUUGAAAUUAUAUUCUAUCAAUAGUUUAAGUCAUCAUACUUUAUAAAUAGAUAUCUAGAAUGCUUCCCAGCAUGUUUCGGGCCGUACUAAACUUUACAUAUUCUAUCUGAAGUAAAGUUUUGAUACACCUAA